AUACAUGCAAGUCGAGCGAACAGACGAGGAGCUUGCUCCUCUGACGUUAGCGGCGGACGGGUGAGUAACACGUGGAUAACCUACCUAUAAGACUGGGAUAACUUCGGGAAACCGGAGCUAAUACCGGAUAACAUGUUGAACCGCAUGGUUCAACAGUGAAAGACGGUCUUGCUGUCACUUAUAGAUGGAUCCGCGCCGCAUUAGCUAGUUGGUAAGGUAACGGCUUACCAAGGCAACGAUGCGUAGCCGACCUGAGAGGGUGAUCGGCCACACUGGAACUGAGACACGGUCCAGACUCCUACGGGAGGCAGCAGUAGGGAAUCUUCCGCAAUGGGCGAAAGCCUGACGGAGCAACGCCGCGUGAGUGAAGAAGGUCUUCGGAUCGUAAAACUCUGUUAUUAGGGAAGAACAAAUGUGUAAGUAACUAUGCACGUCUUGACGGUACCUAAUCAGAAAGCCACGGCUAACUACGUGCCAGCAGCCGCGGUAAUACGUAGGUGGCAAGCGUUAUCCGGAAUUAUUGGGCGUAAAGCGCGCGUAGGCGGUUUUUUAAGUCUGAUGUGAAAGCCCACGGCUCAACCGUGGAGGGUCAUUGGAAACUGGAAAACUUGAGUGCAGAAGAGGAAAGUGGAAUUCCAUGUGUAGCGGUG
rnacentral:rRNA from 1 species